AUAUAAAGGCUAUCUAGUUGCGACUGCUGUCGCCCAAUUCAUUGUCAGGGUUGAGUUGGCUAAUCGAGGUGGCUAGGCUGGUAUCCUCUUCUUCAUUGUUACUGAAGCUGCAUCCUUGGUGGAAGAAGACAACCAUCCUGAUAGAGGAGGAACCUCUUUGAUCAAGGGUAUAUGAAUAGCGGUGCCACUUGUAGAACUUCCAUACAAACUCUCAACAAAACAGGCAUUGAGCUGGACCUUGAAGUAGAAACAUGACUAGAUGGAGGGCAGGCAUGCACACGAGUGCAGAAAUGGUCGUGCCCACUGAUUAU
rnacentral:snRNA from 1 species